CUUACGGAGCGGCGAACGGGUGAGUAACACGUGGGCAAUCUGCCUCGAGGACGGGGAUAACUCCGGGAAACUGGAGCUAAUCCCCAAAAACCCCUUCCAGAUCCCAAGUGCUGGUGGGAAAUCGCCUGUUCCACCUCGGAAUGAGUAUCGCACCCCUAUCUCACUUACUAUAGGGGUAAUGCCUUACCAGGCUUGUACACGCCGACGGCCUGAGAGGGUGUUGUGCCCACCCAGACACUGAACACACGACACCUGCACUCCAUACCGUAAGGCAAGGAGUACGGGAAUCUUGCACAUUGGGCUGGAAGCAAGCAUCUGACGGAGCCACGCCGCGUGCAAAAUCAAGGCCUUCGGGUUGUAAACUGCUGUCAGCUGGGAAGAAAAAGUCCGCCAUGAAUAAUGACUGGCUCUGACGGUACCAGCAGAGGAAGGCAUGGCUAACUCUGUGCCCGCGGCACGCGCUAAUACAGAGAUGGCUAGCGUUGUUCGGAUUUAUUGGGCGUAAAGGGUCUGUAGGCGGUCCGGAAAGUCGGAUGUGAAAUCCCACAGCUUAACUGUGGAACUGCAUUCGAAACUUCCGGACUAGAGUGUGAGAGGGGUAAAGGGAAUUCCCGGUGUAAGGGUGAAAUCUGCAGAGAUCGGGAGGAACACCUGUCGCGAAGGCACUUUACUGGCUCACUACUGACGCUGAGGGACGAAAGCUAGGGGAGCAAACGGGAUUAGAUACCCCGGUAGUCCUAGCCGUAAACUAUGGUCACUAGGUGUUGGAGGGGUUAAACCCUUCGGUGCCGUCGCUCACGCAUUAAGUGACCCGCCUGGGGAGUACGGUCGCAUGGCUGAAACUCAAAGGAAUUGACGGGGACCCGCACAAACGGUGGAGCAUGUGGUUCAAUACAACGAUACGCGUGGAACCUUACCCAGGCUUGACAUGUACAAGAAAGCCUUAUGAAAGUAAGGCCCUCUCUUCGGAGACUGGUACACAGGUGUUGCAUGGCUGUCGUCAGCUCGUGUCAUGAGAA
rnacentral:rRNA from 1 species